AUAAUACUCCAUAGAUUAGAGACACUCGAAUGUUCUUUAGUCGAAAGUUCUGGCGCCUUAGGAUGGAUCUGCGGUCGAUUAGGUUGUUGUUGGGGUAACGGCCCAACAAGCCUGUAAUCGAUACGGGUUGUGGGAGCAAGAGCCCGGAGAUGGAAUCUGAGACACGAUUCCAGGCCCUACGGGGCGCAGCAGGCGCGAAAACUUUACAAUGCAGGAAACUGUGAUAAGGGAACUCCGAGUGCCCGUAUACGCGGGCUGUCCAGGUGUUUAAAAAUCAUCUGAAGAAAGGGCCGGGCAAGACCGGUGCCAGCCGCCGCGGUAAUACCGGCGGCUCGAGUGGUGGCCACUAUUAUUGGGCUUAAAGCGUCCGUAGCUGGACCGAUAAGUCUCUUGGGAAAUCCGCCGGCUCAACCGGCGGGCGUCUAAGGGAUACUGUUAGUCUAGGGACCGGGAGAGGUGAGAGGUACUCCGGGGGUAGGAGUGAAAUCCUGUAAUCCCCGGGGGACCACCGAUGGCGAAGGCAUCUCACCAAAACGGCUCCGACAGUGAGGGACGAAAGCUGGGGGAGCGAACCGGAUUAAAUACCCGGGUAGUCCCAGCCGUAAACUAUGCGCGUUAGGUGU
rnacentral:rRNA from 1 species